rnacentral:rRNA from 1 species
GACGAACGCUGGCGGCGUGCCUAAUACAUGCAAGUAGAACGCAGUUGCGAACGGGUGAGUAACGCGUAGGUAACUGCCCCAUAGCGGGGGAUAACUAUUGGAAACGAUAGCUAAUACCGCAUACUGUGAGACGGACCUGCGUUGCAUUAGCUAGUUGGUGAGGUAAAGGCACACCAAGGCGACGAUACAUAGCCGGCCUGAGAGGGUGGUCGGCCACACUGAGACUGAAGCACAGCCCAAACUCCUACGGGAUGCAGCAGUAGGGAAUCUUCGGCAAUAGACGGAAGUCUGACCGAGCAACGCCGCGUGAGUGGAGAAGGUUUUCGGAUCGUAAAACUCUGUUGAUAGGGAAGCGGUAACUGACCAGAAAGGGACGGCUAACUACGUGCCAGCAGCCGCGGUAAUUC